rnacentral:tRNA from 3 species
GCCGACGUGGCUCAGGGGUAGAGCAGCGCACUCGUAAUGCGCAGGUCGUCGGUUCAAAUCCGACCGUCGGCUCCA